rfam:Coxiella burnetii RSA 493, complete genome.
UAUCCUCUGUGACUCGUGGCAAGGACCACAUAUUUGAACCGAUACGAAUAUGAUAGGGAAUUGGCUGUGGUCACACUGUUGAGCAAGCCCGUUUUCGGGGUCUCAUAACCCCUAAGGGAAGCCUGAAGUCAGUGCCCGCCACUCCCACUUGAGCCUUUGGGUUCAAUCAAUGGACUUGCAACGAUGUCAUAGAGGGUUU